ACCAGACUCCUACGGGAGGCAGCAGUGGGGGAUAUUGCACAAUGGGGGGAACCCUGAUGCAGCGACGCCGCGUGGGUGAAGGAGCACCUCGGUGCGUAAAGCCCUAUCGGCAGGGAAGAAACAGGCGGUACCUGACUAAGAAGCCCCGGCUAACUACGUGCCAGCAGCCGCGGUAAUACGUAGGGGGCAAGCGUUAUCCGGAUUUACUGGGUGUAAAGGGGGCGCAGACGGCGAUGCAAGCCAGGAGUGAAAGCCCGGGGCCCAACCCCGGGACUGCUCUUGGAACUGCGUGGCUGGAGUGCAGGAGGGGCAGGCGGAAUUCCUGGUGUAGCGGUGAAAUGCGUAGAUAUCAGGAGGAACACCGGUGGCGAAGGCGGCCUGCUGGACUGCAACUGACGUUGAGGCCCGAAAGCGUGGGGAGCAAACAGGAUUAGAUACCCCGGUAGAA
rnacentral:rRNA from 1 species